CUUGUAACCAUAAGAGGUCCAGCCUGCCCAGUGAUUUUAUUUAACGGCCGCGGUAUUCUAACCGUGCGAAGGUAGCGCAAUCACUUGUUUUCUAAAUAAAGACCAGUAUGAAAGGCAUCACGAGAACUUAACUGUCUCCUUUCUCCAAUCAGUGAACCUAAUCUCCCCGUGAAGAAGCGGGGAUCCCCCUAUAAGACGAGAAGACCCUGUGGAGCUUAAAAUACAAUAUCAACUACUGCCCCAAUUACCCUCCCCACUUCCCCAGCGGCACCCUGAUCACAUAUUUUUGGUUGGGGUGACCGCGGAGAAAAACUUACCCUCCGUGAUGAAAAAGAAUUCCCUUAAACAACAAGUUACAACUUUAUGUAUCAAAAAAUUGACAUUCAUUGACCCAAUAAAUUGAUUAACGAAC
rnacentral:rRNA from 1 species